AUUUCAUUCUCCUCCCUAUUACCUUGUAUUUAUACUUUCUUCUAAAUAUUUUUUCAGGAUUAUCCUAGAGAUUACAGAAUGCAUCCUUGGCUUACUAUAAUAAGAUCAAAUUAUUUCUUUCACCACUUCCCAGAGAACACUAGACUUUAGGUCACUCUAACUCUACCUAGCCCCUCCUACCUUUUACAUGAUUUUUUUAAAUUUCUCUGUAUAUUAUAAGCCCAAUAGAUAUUAAUGUUAAUGGUUUUUAACAAUCAAGACUUGUUUAGAUUUACUUGCAUAUUUACCUCUUCUGAUGUUCUUCAUUCCCUCUUGAGUUUCUGUUUUUCUAUCUGCAGUGAUUUUUCUUUGGAUUAAAGUACUUCCUUUAGAUUAUUUUUAGUGAAGGUCUUCUAGCAAAAAAUUCUCUUAGUUUGUGUUCCUCUAAAUAUAUCUUUAUUUCAAUUUGUUUUUGAAGAAUGUUUUUGCUGGGCAUAGAAUUCUAUGUUGGCAAUAUAAACCAAAAAGUGAGACAUAUCUCAAUCGAUUUAGAGGUUUAUUUUGCCAAGGUGGAGGAUGUACCUGGGAAAAAGAAAUGCCAGUUACUUUAGAAACGCAAGUUACUUUAGAAAUGCAAGAUCUAUAAUCUGUGAAUUUUUUCCAAGAUGGUUUUGAGGACUUCAGUAUUUAAAGGGGAAAGAGUGGGCAAGAGGAGAGAGAGGAAAGAAAAAAAGAGGGGAGGGUAGGCAAAGACCCAAGUGGUUACAUUUUUGUGAGGCUUUGGUGCUAACUGAAUCUAUAUUUCACAUGUGAAAAUACGGGAGUGGGGGGAAAUUCAAUUAUGCAUUGUCUCAUGCUUAGUAACUCUACACUUUACAUAAGGUCAAGUAAGCAUGUGAAAUUACAGCUGUCUGUUUGGGAACAAAAGCAGGCAGUUUUUUGUUGGGUUUUUUUGUUUUUGUUUUGUUUGCAUGACUCAGUUCCCAAACUUAACUUUUUCCCGUUUACAUAGUGCAUUUGGGGUCCCAAGAUUGUAUUUUCCUUUCACAGCAGAUACUUUUUUCCAUCACUUUAAGAUGCCAUUCUAUUGUCUCAUGGCUUUCAUCAUUUCUGUGAUAAGUCAGGUUCAAAUUCUUUUUGUUGUUCCUUUGAAGACAAUUAACUUAUUUUUGUUGCUUUAAAAUUAAUCUCAUUGUCUUUGGUUUUCAACAGCUUUUAAUGUGAUAUGACUUGGUUAUUUUUCUUUUAUUUAUCCUGUUUGUGUUUGAGGCACUUCCUAAACCUUUUGGUUCAUCAGUUUAGGAAAAAAUUUUACUAAUUAUCUUCUAAUGUUGCUUGUGCACUCACCUUUUCUAUGUACUCAAUUGACAUAUGUGAUAUAAAAUGUUAACUGUUUUCCAUGUAUCUCUAAUGUUCUUUUCUAUACUUUUUUUUUUUUAAGACAAGGUCUCACUCUGUCACCAAGCUGGGAUACAGUGGCAUCACCACAGCUCACUGCAGCCUCGACCUCCACAGGAUCAGAUAAUCCUCCCACCUCAGCCUUCUUAGUAGCUGGGAUUACAGGCACACACUACCAUGCCAGGCUAAUUUUUGUAUUUUUUUUGUGGAGACAGGGUCUCCUUAUGUUGCCAAGGCUUGUCUCAAACUUCUGGACUCAAGCAAUUCACUCAGCCUCCCAAAGUGCUGAGAUUACAGACACACAGGGGCCACAGGCGCCACAAGGGGAAGCACCAGAGUGGAUCAGGAGGCAGGAGCAAGACAAAAGUACAGACAAGAGCCUUUACUGUGGCAUCUACAGGAAGCAAUGGAUAAGGCAAGGUAAGCAGGUUUAGGAUUGGUGAGUUUGAAUAAUUUCAGCAGGCCCUGGGGUGUAGGUACCUGGCCUUGGGAUGAAAGUAGGAAGGGGAAAAGUGGCCUGGAAUGUGAGAGUUCAAUAUAGGAAGUGGUUGGACAUUUGGGCUCUGGAUUGGUUUGUUUGCAUUCAAAAGACAUGCUCACAAGCCAGUCAUUUACUAGUUCUAGGAAUUGGCUAGCUCUGAAAGGAUCACUCUUCAGGGUCAGGAAGGCUUCAGAUGUCAAAGGACCAGAAACUCAUGAUUAAUACAGUGGUCUGAAAAAGAGGGCAAGGAACAGGGACUAAGGAGUUACUGAUCAUCAUCCAAUUUAGAAGAUUUAUCAAAUAGAUCACCAAAUGUGCAUCUGACUUUUGUUGAACUAGAUUUGUAUGUUUUCUUUUACAUUUUAAUUUUAGUCCUUAGCUGUCAGUGCAGAAUUGACUAUCCCAUGUAGGGGGAAACAUGUCAUAUAUAAAAACUAAUUCACAUUUUGUGACUAUGCUCAAUACUAAAAAAUAAGAAAUGGUGGUUUGCAUUUUUGUCUAUGUACUUGUGUAGCUUGGAAGCCACCUAGCCAGAAAUAAGCCUAAGUCAUCAUUCUUCCAGAACAGCUGCUUAUGUGAUGCUUACAUUCUGCACACUCAAAUGAUAAUCUCAUGGUCAGGUCAGUACCCCCACUCCAGGACCCGGAUGUAACUAUAGCUGUAUGGAGAUAUAGAAUGGAGAUGACAGCACAAUUCAUUGUUAUAUAGAGUUUACUAUACAUGGUUCUAAAUAAUGAACAAUAGAGUCUAUACAGUGAAUCUGGGGCCAAUCUUUAGACUUUCCUCAUUGUAAAACAAUUACUAUCUUUAAUUUGUGUGGUUAAGAGGAUAAAUAGUUCUGAUCUAGGCCUAUGCUUAAUCCUCUUUUCUGUCAGUCACCAACAAAUAGAAGCCAUUGGGUGGUGGUAGUAGGGCAGACCUUGGGAAGUACAGGAAAUCAGAGUGGAAGACAAUCAAAAGUUGGCAAAGUGUUAAAGAGUUAUAAAUGAUUAAUCCGAAAAGGAAAUGACAAAAAAAAUGCUUCUGCAAACAUUUUAAAAACACUGCUACUUUACUCAUAAUCAAGGCAAUCACAACCUGUUCGAAGCAUGUAACACUUGUGAAUAGAUGUCUGUCAGGCAGAGACUGGGGAGUUUUAAGAGGCCCCAGAGUGGUUAAUGGGGGAAUUAGCACAAUUCAGAAAAGACAUUAAUUAGGUCAAUCUGCAGUUUUGAAAAACUUUAGCACCUCUCCAAUGCUAUUAGUGAAUUAAUGACCCCAGUUAUUGAACAACAGACAAAGAUUAACACAAAAAUUUGGGCUGUUAAAGCCGACUUUAAAAGGGAAGUCCAAAGAGAACUAACAAAGUUGGAAAACUACAAUAAGAAUUAAUGGAAGUGUGUUCAUGAAUUAUAAAAACAGACGAUGAAAUAAUGAAUCUUUUAUAAAGAACUCUUCAGCACAAACUUACAACUAAAAGGAAGAGAAUGCCCAGUGAUACUUAGCCUAACAAGAGGUUGUAUAGCUUCUCUAAAAAAGAAAUUUUAAUUUGUAUAGUAAGUAUGAAUUUGCUCAGUAAUACUUGGGAAUAAGAAGUAUCCCAAUAAUUUGCUGAUCUUUAAAUUAAUUCUGGCACCAGCUCCCCCUCUCAUGGUGCGGUGUGUCAUAUUUUAGGAGCCUCUCCUUUAGGCAUUACAGAAUCCAGACACUUAUGUAAUGUCUCAACACAGGGAAAGAGCCUGUCCCUUUAUGUCCCUUAAGGUGAUUCCCAUGCCUGCUGCUCCUUCUACUACUUGGUGAUCUUAUACACCUGGCCCUCCACUCUCUGUCAAACAAUGAUGCUCCAGAAAGAACGGAGCUGUCCUUCCCUGCAGUCCCCACCAAUGACCACUGAAACCCUUGUAGGAAUGAUACAAUAUCACCCGUUAGGGCUGAUGGGGUAAGUACAGACCCUUUCCAGAUAGCAUAAUGUUUUGCAAUCUGUGUGUGGCAAAUAAUACUCAAUUGUUAUGGAGAGGCCUGGGAUUAUAUAAUUUAAACAUGCUGUUUGUUUCCAAACACAGAAUAACGUAAUCAAGAAAUUCUGCCAUUGGAAAAAACUAUGCGACAACCAAUAAUCAAUAGAAUAUUAAGACUUUAUUCCCACUUUUUUUAUGGAAAAGCCAAUGUCUUUGGCAUAUUUUGCCAAUUCAGGAUGUGUUACAUACAAUCUUCCUUACCAUUCUGUAAGAAUCAAAAUUCAUUGUUAAGAGCUAACAUUUCUGUCUCCACACAAAUAAUUCCUGAAUAUAUUGGGAGUAGUGUGGCUUGUACAAAAAAAAAAUAUAUAUAUAUAUAUACACACACACACACACACACAUAUAUAUAUGAAAUGAUUGUUUUCCAGAAUAACUAUUGUUACCAGAAAAGGGAUUCUUUAUGAACGGCAAAUCAUGUUGACUGACUCAAAUUCCUCAGGAUAGUACCUCCUCCACAUCUAUCUUAAAAUUUGUGAGGUGGGAGGUUUGCUUGAGCAUGAGGAUUUGAGACAACUCUGGGCAACAUAGUGAGACCUCGUCUCUACUAAAAAUUAAAAAAAAAAAAAAGAUUAGUCAAGCAUGAUGGUGCACACCGAUAGUCCCAGUACCUGGAAGGCUGAGGGGGAGGAUCACUUCAGUCCAGGAGUUCAAGGUUGCAGUGAGCCAUGAUGAUGCCACUGCACUCCAAUCUGGGUGAGGCCUUGUCUUUAAAAAAAAAAAAAAAAGUUUACUAUGUGGGACUUCACACAGUUAAUCAAUCACAGAGUUUAAUCAGCUUUAGCAGGUGGAAUAAGGAAGCAUUCUAAUACUAACAUUUCCAGUGGAAGUGGAACAACAUAAUCUGGAAUCUGUAGGGAAAAAGAGCUAAAGGCAAAAACAGAGGACAUUUGAUGAUGUUCUUCCAGAUUUACAGACAAGACUAUAGUAGUAGAGAUUGGACAAAAGAUUCCAAACUUUUUUAGAAGGCCACAAUUAAAAAGUUUAGUUUCUUUCUAGAAGAGAAGCUAAAGGAGACAGCACAAAUUUUAGAGGCACCUUUAAUGGUCAUUGUGGAACUCCUCAAGAGCAAGGGCUUUGUAAGCCAUUUCGGCAUAGUUCUGCAUUACAGAUUACACUGUUCUUGAAUAUUAGGAAUUAGUGCUUCCAUGUUCCUUGCAUUUGCACUUGACUAUACCCAACCCCAACACUGAGGUGAAGAAUCAGAAACAAGAAAUGGUGGGUUUUGGUCAUCUCAAUGUACUAAUCAUAAACUCAUGUCAAAAUAUACCCAGCAAAUCAAUCAGCCUGUCAACCAGUCUUGCCUGGUUUUCUCACUCUUGACACCAAAACAUUGAAUUACUUAGGUAGGUAAAUGACUCAGGAAUCACAAAUAACAAUCCUUGAAUUGUUUCUCAACUUGAGAUAGUAUGAAGAAGACAGAGGACUUACUAAGAAUGACUAAACUACAUUCAGUAAUGAGAAUUUGAUUCCAUUUACUUUACACAUGUGUACACAAUAAACUACAAUGUAAAAAAGAAAAUGAUUCUCCAGUUCCCUCACCAUGGAACUGAUAACCUUUAACUGGAGUGAUAAAGGAACAGUCUGGUCCAGUCUGGAUCCUCUUUAGAGCUUUGCAUGUCCCUUGUCUUACAUUUUCUCAUAUGUGCUGGGACAGUCGAGUCAAUUCUUGAGAAAAACAAAGUCAUGCUACAGAUCUUUGGGACCCUGAGAGCUCUGUGCUUGGGAUAAGGAGUAGAAAAAGAAUUCUUACUUAGAAUAAAUAUAGAUGAAACAAAGAGGAAAAAAGGGAAGAUGAUGGGUCUGCAUGGGACACCAGGAGUCCUCAGGUCUGCAUCUCUCUGACCUUGAACUUUGUUCUCUCACUCAAUUCAUCUCUGCCCUAAGAGCAGUAGGAAGAGUCACAGGUGACAAGAAAGGCAGCUUAUAUUUUUGCAGUAUCUUUCAAAUUUUUUAUCUUGCUCAUGCCACACACAAGGGCAGUGUAUUAAUCAGGGUUCUGUAGAGGGACAGAACUAACUGGAUCCCAUGAUGGGCUGUCUGCAAGUUGAGGAGCAGGGAAGCCAGUGGUGGAUCAGUCUGAGUCCCAAAACCUUAAAAGUAGGGAAGCUGACAGUGCAGACUUCAGUCUGUGGCCAAAGGCCUGAGAGCCCCUGGCAAACCACUGGUGUAAGUCCAAGAGUCCAAAAGCUGAAGAACUUGGAGUCUGAUGCUCAAGGGCAGGAAGCAACCAGCACAGCAGGAUUUUGUCCUGCCUGCUUUCUUCUAGCCACUCUGGUAGCUGAUUAGAUGGUGCCCACCCAGACUGAGGGUGGGUCUGCCUCUCCCAGUCCGCUGACUCAAAUGUUAAUCUCCUUUGGCAACACCCUCACAGACACACCCAGGAACAAUACUUUGCAUACUUCAAUCAAGUUGACAUUCAAUAUUAACCAUCACAGGCAGCAUUAUUUAAGCUGUAGCAAUGGGAAUAUCCAAACCCCUUUGGGUUAAAAAAAAAAAAAAAAAAAAAAAGUACACCACAAUACUUUCUAAGUAAUACUAUUAAUAAUAGACAUCCCUCCAUAAAAACUGGCUUCAGGUGUUCCCAGUAGGUCAUUUCUCACCCAAAACUGUCACGGUUACGACACCAUGGAUUCAAAAGCCAAUGGAUUUAAUAUUCUAGAAAGAUCCUCAUGCUUGGAAAUCCAAAGUUAUUGGAUUCCUUUCAAUCUGUAAAGUUGAGUAGCUCUAGAAGGACCACAUUUUUGUUUUAUUUGCAGCCGGGGCCUAUCACAGAUUAUUACAUUUUCUCUUUCUUGGCUGGAAUUAAUACUAAGUACUUUACAAAGGAGACACUGGAUGUUCCUGAUCUUUCUUUGGCAGCUAAUUAUCGUAAUGAUGAGCGCCUAUAUAAAACCUAACCAUGAGUUUGCCCUCUGUCAACUGCAAAACUAAGGAAUCUAAAUGCGGAACACGUCCAAGUUUUAGAAGGCAGUAACUGGUUCAGGCAUCAGAGGAUGCAGGAGUGAUGACUGGGCAUCUACAGCAUUAACAUGCACCAUUUUGAGCAAGAGCCAUUACUGAAAAGACUUACAUCCCUAAAAGCACAGUGAGGAGCUUCCUUCCCUGUCUGCUGAAAAGGCUGACCCAAGGCCAGCCUGGGGCUGCUUAGGUGCCUUAGAAAGUCAUUGUAUGACUAAACAGUUCAAGGGCUCCUUGACUCAAACUCUCUUCAUAUUAGAGAUUUGAAAUUUUCAAGGAAAAAUAGAUAAGAAAAAACAAAAUGUGUGGAAUGACUAUUUACCAUGUGCCAGGCACUUGCUAAGCAUUUUAUGAACUUUAUGCCAAUUAAACUUAAUACAAACCUAAAAAGUGGAAUGACAUGCAAAAUAUUAUACUCUACAACAAAUACAACACUGGCCCUGACCAAUUAAUUUAAUGGACACUUUUUUUUUUUUUUUUUUUCAGAUGGGGUUUUGCUCUGUCACCCAGGCUGGAGUGCAGUGGUGCAAUCUUGGCUCACUGCAACCUCCGCCUCCCAGGUUCAAGUGAUUCUCCUGCCUCAGCUUCCCAAGUAGCUGGGAUCACAGGCAUGUGCUACUGCACCCAGCUAAUUUUUGUAUUUCUAGAAGAGACGGGGUUUCACCAUGUUGGUCAGGCUGGUCUUGAACUCCUGACCUCAGGUGAUCCACCCAUCUUGGCGUCCCAAAGUGCUGGGAUUACAGGCGUGAACCACCAUGCCCAGCCAAUUUAAUGGACACUUAACUUAUCCAUAACCCCUCCAGUUAUUAUGCCAUACCAGUAUAUAACUGGCUGAAGAUUAAUCACAUUUUGCAGGUGAGAAAACUGAGGCUUAGAGAGGCUGAGUAACCUGUCCAAGAUAUACUGCUAGAAAGUGGAAGAGUUGAGAUUUGCACAUCUGCCUGAUUCCAAAGCUUGAGAUCCCCUUCUUGUUACCAUACAUGUUUCCUCUUGUUAAGUGACCGGUUCCUUAAUAAGAGGAUUUUUGUCACCAUUAAGAUGCUGGAUGAAAGGCUAUCCAUGAAGAAACCAUGCUGAACACUCCCAACAUCUACUGUGUGUGCAUUGAGGUUUUUAUCUUUUGUAUAUCUCCCUGAACGUGAGCCAUGGUGAUGGAAGCCUCUUCCAAACCAAAGUGCUUAAUAAGUGCUCGUGAGGACCAUACAAUGUGGAAGGAACCUGGGUCCCUGAAAAUUCCCACAGAAGGCUACUGACCAAGAAAUCUUUCAAAAGACUAUGACAGGAGCAAAAACUACAUUUUUAUUGGGUUAAACUACAGAGAUUUCUGGGUGUAUCUGUUACAGCAACUGGUGUUAAUUAAACAGAGAAGAGCACCGUUCCAUUUUCUCUUUAAGGUUGGAGUAUUAAAUUGCCUCUAUUGUCUCUUUUACGGUAUUGAUAUUUUUUGAUUGAUUGAUCGACCAGGUUUCUUUACUAUCAAUUCUUCACCUUUAAUGGGCCCUCUUUAUAUUUUUUCUACAUAUCCCUGCAUUAUAUUUUCUUGAUGUUUCCCGGGACAUCUUAG
rnacentral:lncRNA from 10 species